UACGGAGGGUGCAAGCGUUGUCCGGAUUUAUUGGGGUUAAAGGGUGCGUAGGCGGUUAAUUAAGUCCGUGGUGAAAUCCUGGAGCUCAACUUCAGAACUGCCAUUGAUACUGGUUGACUUGAGUACAGACGAGGUUGGCGGAAUUGAUGGUGUAGCGGUGAAAUGCAUAGAUACCAUCAAGAACACCGAUUGCGAAGGCAGCUAACUAGGCUGUAACUGACGCUGAGGCACGAAAGUGUGGGGAUCAAACAGG
rnacentral:rRNA from 1 species